AAAUAGAAAGUUCAAUAACAAUAAUAAAAUUUGACAUUACUACACACAACUAAAAAGUAAAAGAAAACAUAAAAAGAAAAACAGACUCAAAACGCAAACAAAAGAAAAGAAAAUCUUCUUUUAAUCCACUCCUGAAUGAGCGAUCCUGACUAGAUGUCCUGAGGAUCUGUCAUGCUCAAACUCUGAUAAAUAAAUUCACACCUGUAUGAGAAAAUUAAAAUCAAAUAGGUUAAAGACCUAGAAUGCUAUGUGAUACAAUAGGCUCUGUCAUGCUCAGACUCCGAUAAACAAAUCCACACCUGUAUGAGAAAAUGAAAACCAAAUAGGUUAAAGACCUAGAAUGCUAUGUGAGACAAUAACCCGUCCUGUUGGAAACAUGCAAGACAUGAUUUAGGCUAUUUUUGUAAAAUGACUCAUUUGCCCAAAGAAUAGCUAGAAGUGAAAAAUUUGUGUAAGACCCCGCAAAGUCAAGAACCUAAGAUUUACUAGAAAGACCGGACCCUAUGUGGGCUGCCUUCGUAUCACGUCCCGAGAUGCGAGAAUUAUGUAUGCGUAGUUCGGGCAGAUUGGGUAUGCACGAGAAUUAAAAAAUAAUUAAUUUAGAGAAAAUAUAUUUUCUAUUUUUCUCGUAAAAUGAUGAAACAUGCAAAAAAUUUUGGAUUUUUUUUAAAUUUUUUUAUUUUUCGAAAAAUGAUGCAGAAGUGCAAAAUCUUUUUGAAUUUCUCAUGUAUUUUUUGUCUUUUUUUUUAUAAAAACGUAACAAAAAAGAGAUAACUAAGCUUACGUGCUUUAUUUUCACACUUCAUCUUUUUUUUCCUUUUUUUCUCUUAUCUUUUUUUCUUCGUUUUAUUUCAUUUUUCAUUUGCCCUCAACUUUCAUUGGUCCGCCAAAUGACCCUUUUACCCUUGGAGAAAUGCAACAUGUAGCACAUAGGAUGCAUCUAGAUGGUCUGUUAUUUUGGGUACACCAGUCCUAGACGGACCCAACCCUUGUGUUGAGUCCCUAAGUCAAAUGCACGUGAUGCAAAUAACCGCUCAUACUAGGGAUCCGGCAUGAGGCUGAGUUUUUCUAAGUUUAAAUCUUGGGGUUUUGAUCUAGAUAUAGGGUACCCGAGCGGACAACUGGGGCCGAGGAGGGGGACAUACCGGGAGCACUAAAGUCUACUCGGCCUUGUCGCUUGCCCAACCUCGCUCUAUUUGGUAUAAUUUCUACAAACAAACCGGGCUACGCGAACGUAUGCACCAUUUUCAGAAGACUCAGAGGAGUGGCAUUAGAAGACAGUUGUAGUGCAAUUUAACAAUAUUAAAACGGUAAACAGAUAGCAUUUAGCACAAAGGUUCACAAUAAUAUCAAUAAUAAAUAAGCCAAGUAAAAAUCAUAAAACAAACUCGAAUUCUUGAAUCCUGAACAAAAAGUUCCGAGUUCUAGAUCCCCAGCAGAGUUGCCAGAGCUGCCACACCCCCUUUUUUACUACACCCCGAAAGAGGGAUAUAAUAAAGGAAGUUUUUCCUAUUAAAGGACAAUCGAAACGGGAUUUAUUUUAUUAAAAAUCAGAGUCACCACUUGGGAUAAUUUAUGGUGUCCCAAGUCACCGGUUAAAAUCUCGAAUCGAGGAAAGGUUUGACUCUGUCUAUGUCUCCGAACCAGAAAUCCGGGUAAGGAAUUCUGUUAACCCGGAGAAGGUGUUAGACACUCUCGAGUUCAGUGGUUCUAGCAUAAUCGCUUUGAUAAUACUUGGCUUAUUAAAUUAUUUGACUACUAAUUUUAGAACCUGGGUGCUUUUGCCUUUUACCACUUUUAAUUAAGAAAAUUAUCUUGAAAUGCGUUACGCGUACGUAUACCCAUUUGUUUAGCGCGUCAAAAUCAUGUCUCGCGAACGUGUCCACGAUUAAAAAUGCUUUAUUAUUAUUAAUAGAGUUUGGCCAAAGAUGCGCGAACGCAUACUCCGAUUUUAUUUUUAAAAUCAUGAUUCUAUUAAGCGAACGUAUACGCAAUCAUAAUUGUAUUUUAAACGGCCUUAAAAGCUUUUCUACGAAUAUUAAUCAUUUUUACAUCUAGGUUAGGAAAUUAGUACAAGGGCCAUAUGAGAUUUAAAAGGUGGAAGACACACCUCGAAGGCUCGAACUAUAUGAACUAAUUUAAUUAGUAGCCUAUGAAAAUCCAUUUUUAUUAUUAAGAAAAGUUCGAUUGAAGUUACACGAAUACAUACUCCGAAUUGAUUUUUAGAAUCGUGAUUAUAUUACGUAAACGUAUACACAAUCACAAUUGUAUUAGUUAGAGAGUGCCUAAAACAAACGCAUGCACAAUCACAAUUGGCAUUAAAACUAUCAGAAGCCCGACGUAGAGGAGAUAAACCGAAUGCCUAACACCUAAGCCCAAUACGCUGAAUCUCUAAAUUUCAAAUAACCGAAGUGUUCCACAUAACUCCUGAAAAACUAAAAUGCAGUAGCAAAAGAAAAUAGGUACGGACAAAUAUAUUCAAAACAUGAAAAGGCAGUUGAAUCACUCACAACUCACUACACCAAAUAAUUUUAAGAAUCCUAAGAAUAUUGUUGUUCUUUAAAUUACACUUGAAGAUAAUUUGCAGCAAGGAAAUUCGACAACUUAACCAAACUUCUCAACAUAAAAUGUCGUUAAGCACAAUGCUCUUAGGAAGGAAAGACAACAUGAAACAUACAACAAGUCUUUAUACGAACGAACAUUUAAACAACCCGGAGAAGGGUUGUCGAGCAAACAACAUGGAGCACAAAGCAAGAAGGACACUUGAAACCUUCAAAUCCGCCACUGGCUUAUCAUAGAGUGGGUCAGAUUUUAACAAAAGGUGCUUGGAGAGGACUAAUCUAAGUAGGUUGAUGAAGCAUCAUAGGAAAAAUUAUUUCAAACUCGAACUUGAUGGAACCAAACCAGCAUAGUCUUCAGAUUAUCGACUCGCCAUUCAUUUAACAGUCAUGAGACCGUUCAAUUCCAGCUGUGAAUUAUCAGGACCCAAACAUGUCUCACUUUAAAAAAAACAAAUUUGGUUAACAAAUUGAUAGACAAACGAAUGGUCUAAAAUCUCAUAAACAAAAAACACUACUUCGCCUCCCAACAAACACAUCGAAGCAGAGGUGAAAAAAUUAAGUGCGAUCUAAAUAUCGAACACAUCGAAGCAGAGGUGAAAAACUAAGCGCGAUCUAAAUAUAGCAGCCAUUUCACCCUUCCUAGGAUCAUGUGAUUAAAAUUUCUGUUAACAGCAGAAUCCAAGCGCAAAAUGCUAUGCUCGUUCAGAAGAAGAGAACAUAACGAUUUAGGCAUGGAUGAGCAUGCAUACGACCCUAACAAUUAACUACGGUCCAAAUACUCUGCAUCAAAAAUCACUCGCACUAGGGAACCAGAUAACUCAAUGAAGAACCAUGAGAAUAUACAUUACUGAUUCAGAUUCAUUUGACGACCAUACUGCAGGGCAGAAUAGAACAAUAAAUGAAAUCGAAGAUAACCACGUAAGCCUCAUCUACCAUUUUAACUGAAAUCGUUUUACAAUCCGUCCAUGGCUUACUUCACAGUAGAAAUAAAAGGAAGAGCAGGAGUGAACCUGAAAUGAAAAUUAAACUAGCCUCCACACUGAAAUCAACACAGAUCAUCAACAGCCGCAACAGCCACAAAUCGACGCCUCGAACAAAAACGAGUUCAACUAUCUCUCAAUCGAACCCCAUUUUGAACAAAAUCCUGAUUGAAAGAAGAUAUGGAAUCUACAUGUUUGAAGCUUGUAGAAAACAAACCAAACAACCAUGAAAUCACAGAAUGUUGAACAUUUUUUGUUGUAUUUUUUAGUUAAACUAAGAAUGAAGGCAAACGAUAAAGAAGAAGAAGACUAUUCUGUAGAAACCAAAUCUUCCGAAAACAAACUAAACCUCCCUCUCAAAAAUCCUUUCUAAAAUCUCUCCGACUCUCAAAAAAGAAAAAAAAAGAGUACCCUCCAAAAUUGGAUAUGGUCCUUUAUAAAAACGAACCAUUGAUAAAUGUGGGGCUUGGAUUGAACGAAAUCAAUCCAGCGUCUCACACUCAUCCAACGAAUCGUCUCUAUGACCUUCCAAUCGCGUGCCUUAUCUCCAAAUUGAGCGACUGAAGGGAAGGAGAAUCUUCGGUGUCAGAAAUCGUUAAAAAUUGGUGAUGAGGAGAAAAGGAGGAACGCAUAAGGAGAGAUUUGAGGCUCACUCGCUUGGAUUUGGACUGAAAAUGAGGGUUGGUUCGUGUUCCCCCUUUGGAUAAGAAGAACAAUGCGCAGUCGGGUUUGGGAGAUUAGGAUUGUC
rnacentral:lncRNA from 1 species